GAUGAACGCUGGCGGCGUGCCUAAUACAUGCAAGUCGAGCGAAUGGAUUGAGAGCUUGCUCUUAUGAAGUUAGCGGCGGACGGGUGAGUAACACGUGGGUAACCUGCCCAUAAGACUGGGAUAACUCCGGGAAACCGGGGCUAAUACCGGAUAACAUUUUGAACCGCAUGGUUCGAAAUUGAAAGGCGGCUUCGGCUGUCACUUAUGGAUGGACCCGCGUCGCAUUAGCUAGUUGGUGAGGUAACGGCUCACCAAGGCAACGAUGCGUAGCCGACCUGAGAGGGUGAUCGGCCACACUGGGAGUGAGAAACGGCCCAGACGCCUACGGGAGGCAGCAGUAGGGAAUCUUCCGCAAUGGACGAAAGUCUGACGGAGCAACGCCGCGUGAGUGAUGAAGGCUUUCGGGUCGUAAAACUCUGUUGUUAGGGAAGAACAAGUGCUAGUUGAAUAAGCUGGCACCUUGACGGUACCUAACCAGAAAGCCACGGCUAACUACGUGCCAGCCGCCGCAGUAA
rnacentral:rRNA from 1 species